CCUACGGGUGGCAGCAGUGGGGAAUAUUGGACAAUGGGGGCAACCCUGAUCCAGCCAUGCCGCGUGUGUGAAGAAGGCCCUCGGGUUGUAAAGCACUUUCAGUGAGGAAGAACGCCUGGUGGUUAAUACCCAUCAGGAAAGACAUCACUCACAGAAGAAGCACCGGCUAACUCCGUGCCAGCAGCCGCGGUAAUACGGAGGGUGCGAGCGUUAAUCGGAAUUACUGGGCGUAAAGCGCGCGUAGGUGGCUUGAUAAGCCGGUUGUGAAAGCCCCGGGCUCAACCUGGGAACGGCAUCCGGAACUGUCAAGCUAGAGUGCAGGAGAGGAAGGUAGAAUUCCCAGUGUAGCGGUGAAAUGCGUAGAGAUCGGGAGGAAUACCAGUGGCGAAGGCGGCCUUCUGGACUGACACUGACACUGAGGUGCGAAAGCGUGGGUAGCAAACAGGAUUAGAUACCCCGGUAGUC
rnacentral:rRNA from 1 species